GAUGGGGCAGCACCAGACCGAGCGCUCUAGCUGAGGGAUACAGAUUAGGGAUGAGGACAUAACUCCAAAGAAUAACUCUGCUGAAGUGACUUCACUGCAGAGAGUCAACUUAGUCUUAGACAGAAAACCUCUCUAUGAAUAAAGGGGAAUAAAGUUAAAGGAAAUGAAGCAAAUAAAGCAAGAAAAAAAAAAUACCGAUGACCAGAAAAGAGCAAUAUAUUUAAUGGUUUCCCAGGAGGAAAUUCUUAAGAAGCCAAACUGAAGAAUUAGAUUGGGACUUGUCAUUUCCAUGUGCACAAAGAGAUAGCGACACAGCGAGAGAGGGAACACAAGCAGGGGGAGUAGGAGAGG